UACAGAGGUCCCAAGCGUUGUUCGGAUUCAUUGGGCGUAAAGGGGGUGUAGGCGGCGCCGUAAGUCGGGUGUGAAAUCUCGGGGCUUAACUCCGAAACUGCAUUCGAUACUGCGGUGCUUGAGGACUGGAGAGGAGACUGGAAUUCAUGGUGUAGCAGUGAAAUGCGUAGAGAUCAUGAGGAAGACCAGUGGCGAAGGCGGGUCUCUGGACAGUUCCUGACACUGAGACACGAAGGCCAGGGGAGCAAACGGG
rnacentral:rRNA from 1 species